UACGUAGGGUGCAAGCGUUAAUCGGAAUUACUGGGCGUAAAGCGUGCGCAGGCGGUUGUGCAAGACCGAUGUGAAAUCCCCCGGGCUUAACCUGGGAAUGGCAUUGGUGACUGCACGGCUAGAGUGUGUCAGAGGGGGGGGUAGAAUUCCACGUGUAGCAGUGAAAAUGCGUAGAGAUGUGGAGGAAUACCGAUGGCGAAGGCAGCCCCCCUGGGAUAACACUGACGCUCAUGCACGAAAAGCGUGGGGGAGCAAACAGGAUUAGAU
rnacentral:rRNA from 1 species